rnacentral:misc_RNA from 1 species
AAGUCGUAACAAGGUUUCCGUAGGUGAACCUGCGGAAGGAUCAUUAACACGUAUCCAAACGUUAAACCCCCCUGUGAACCUUCAGUCGUACUCGUACGUCCGUUAGAAAAAGCAGCAAUCCCUGGUAAAUCAUCGCCGAACAGUUUUCGAUUCAGGGACGUCUGCAAGGAGCGUGCAUGUUGUGCGUGUAAGUGGCCUGGCAUCCCCAAGCAGUUAGUGUCUGAAAGUGUCACUAACGUUAGUGUCUGAAAGUGUCACUAACAUGUGUGAGGAUGACGCACGAUCGUUGGAGGCCCACACGGGGUCACUGGGUGCAAGCCCCCUUAUCUCUAUCUAUGGUGAUCCUGCGGGAAGUCCUGCGGUCGAACGCCGAAACCGAACAACUGUUAACAAUGGAUAUCUUGGUUCUC